rnacentral:rRNA from 1 species
UUCCGGUUGAUCCUGCCGGAAGCUACUGCUAUUGGGAUUCGAUUAAGCCAUGCAAGUCGAAUGAAUUCAUAUUCAUGGCAUACGGCUCAGUAACACGUGGAUAACUUACCCUUAGGACUGGGAUAACUUUGGGAAACUGAAGAUAAUACCGGAUAUUAAGCUAUGCCUGCAAUGGUUUGCUUAUGAAACGUUUUUCGCCUAAGGAUAGAUCUGCGGCUGAUUAGGUCGUUGGUGGGGUAAAGGCCCACCAAGCCGAUGAUCGGUACGGGUUGUGAGAGCAAGAGCCCGGAGAUGGGUUCUGAGACAUGAAUCCAGGCCCUACGGGGCGCAGCAGGCGCGAAAACUUUACAAUGCGGGAAACCGUGAUAAGGGGACACCGAGUGCCAGCAUCAUAUGCUGGCUGUCCGGGUGUGUAAAAUACACCCGUUAGCAAGGGCCGGGCAAGACCGGUGCCAGCCGCCGCGGUAACACCGGCGGCCCGAGUGGUGAUCGUGAUUAUUGGGUCUAAAGGGUCCGUAGCCGGUUUGGUCAGUCCUCCGGGAAAUCUGAUAGCUCAACUAUUAGGCUUUCGGGGGAUACUGCCAGGCUUGGAACCGGGAGAGGUAAGAGGUACUACAGGGGUAGGAGUGAAAUCUUGUAAUCCCUGUGGGACCACCUGUGGCGAAGGCGUCUUACCAGAACGGGUUCGACGGUGAGGGACGAAAGCUGGGGGCACGAACCGGAUUAGAUACCCGGGUAGUCCCAGCCGUAAACGAUGCUCGCUAGGUGUCAGGCAUGGCGCGACCGUGUCUGGUGCCGCAGGGAAGCCGUGAAGCGAGCCACCUGGGAAGUACGGCCGCAAGGCUGAAACUUAAAGGAAUUGGCGGG